UUCGCCCUUUUCCGGUUGAUCCUGCCGGACCUGACUGCUAUCGGAUUGAUACUAAGCCAUGCGAGUCAUUGUAGCAAUACAAGGCAGACGACUCAGUAACGCGUAGUCAACCUAACCUAUGGACGGGAAUAACCUCGGGAAACUGAGAAUAAUGCCCGAUAGAACACUAUACCUGGAAUGGUUUGUGUUCCAAAUGAUUUAUCGCCGUAGGAUGGGACUGCGGCCUAUCAGUUUGUUGGUGAGGUAAUGGCCCACCAAGACUAUUACAGGUACGGGCUCUGAGAGGAGUAGCCCGGAGAUGGGUACUGAGACACGGACCCAGGCCCUAUGGGGCGCAGCAGGCGAGAAAACUUUGCAAUGUGCGAAAGCACGACAAGGUUAAUCCGAGUGAUUUGUGCUAAACGAAUCUUUUGUUAGUCCUAGAACCACUAACGAAUAAGGGGUGGGCAAGUUCUGGUGUCAGCCGCCGCGGUAAAACCAGCACCUCAAGUGGUCAGGAUGAUUAUUGGGCCUAAAGCAUCCGUAGCCGGCUCUGUAAGUUUUCGGUUAAAUCUGUACGCUUAACGUACAGGCUGCCGGGAAUACUGCAGAGCUAGGGAGUGGGAGAGGUAGACGGUACUCGGUAGGAAGGGGUAAAAUCCUUUGAUCUAUUGAUGACC
rnacentral:rRNA from 1 species